rnacentral:lncRNA from 1 species
UCUCUUUUCUUCUUUAUUAGUCUUGCUAGUGGUCUAUCAAUUUUGUUGAUCUUUUCAAAAAACCAGCUCCUGGAUUCAUUAAUUUUUUGAAGGGUUUUUUUGUGUCUGUAAUUAUUUUUAAUUUGGGCUUCACUUCCCAGUCCAGUGAGAUGUGCUCUGCUACUUUCAUACUUUCUUAACCCUAUUAAUGUAGCCACAAAUUGUAGCUCUUUGGAUAUAUAAUUUAUUGCUGAACAUUCAAGUUUAAAGUUUUAAAAAUUUUCCUUGACCAGGGAUUGUGCAGCAUUGAUCAUAAUCAGCAUGAUCAUUAUUUGCAGUAGUUAAUACAUAGAAAACACUCUUUUUUUUGUUGAGUCAAUGAAUGCAUGUAUGAAUCAGAAGAAACAAAAUAGUAGUUUCUAUAUCUGCUAAGAAAGCAAAAUAAUGUAACAUACUAUCACUAUACUCAGCAUCUGAGUUUAUGUUUUAGUUUAUUUUGAUCAGUAAUACUACAUUAAUUACCUAGGAGUAAUAAGAAAAAAAGCUUGCUUAAUAUUUAAAUGUCAUGUUAAUGCAAAUGAAAGCCAAAUGCCCUCAUGCCAUAUAAUAAAAGGGUCAGUUUUGCAUUAGUUCAAAUAAAAAAGAGUGAUUGAGAAUUGAGUCACCACAAGGAACACAGUGGGUUGGGCAUGAUAAACUCAGCAGAAUCUCUAUCGUAGUAGCCAAUAUCAUUAUCUGGGUUUUGAGUGGAGAUCAACAAAAUAGUAUCAUCUAUCACACAAAUUUGUUGAUUUGAAUUUUACUGGUUCAUUGUUUAUUUUAUAAAUUUCUUCGUGGUUUUAAUUGUACAAGAGCUGAUAAGUAUAAGAAUUUAUAUUUAAGUGCAUAGUUUUUACCUGUGUGUAAGUAUUUAACAUAUUAAAAUAAUUUUGGAGAGUUCAUGAGACUUGUUUUCCUUUAAAAAGAAACCACGUCUUACUCAAACUUGCAUAAGCACCACACAACCCAAGUACUUUCUCAGUAGAACUCCAU